rnacentral:rRNA from 1 species
GUGUGUUUUGUUACGGGCGUAUGGUGGAUGCCUUGGCAUGCUGAGCCGAUGAAGGACGUGUGAGGCUGCGUUAUGCCUCGGGGAGUUGCCAACAAAGCGUUGAUCCGAGGAUGUCCGAAUGGGGAAACCCAGCACCAGUUGUGUGGUGUUACCCGCAGGUGAAUACAUAGUCUGUGUGGGGGUUGACGCGGGGAAGUGAAACAUCUCAGUACCCGUAGGAGAAGAAAACAAUUGUGAUUCCGUGUGUAGUGGCGAGCGAUAGCGGAUGAGGCUAAACCGUGUGCGUGUGAUACCUGGCAGGGGUUGCGUGUGCGGUGUUGUGGGGCGCAAAUGGUGCAGGCUGUCAACUGCACGCGCAAUGCGCACAUAUCAGCGGAAGCAUCUGGGAUGGUGCGCCGGAGUAGGUGAAAAGUCCUGUACGUGAAGGUGUGUGUGGUUGUGUUGUUUGUGUUUUUCCCCGAGUAGCAGCGGGCUCGUGGAAUCUGCUGUGAAUCUGCCGGGACCACCCGGUAAGCCUAAAUACUCAGUGUGACCGAUAGUGAAUUAAGUACCGUGAGGGAAUGGUGAAAAGUACCCCGGGAGGGGAGUGAAAGAGUUCCUGAAACCAUGCGCUUACAAUCCGUCAGAGCACUUUUUUGUGUGUGAUGGCGUGCCUUUUGAAGAAUGAGCCUGCGAGUCAGCGGCAUGUCGCGAGGUUAACCCGAUUGUGGGGUAGUCGUAGCGAAAGCGAAUCCGAAUAGGGUGUUUUAGUGGCAUGUCCUGGACCCGAAGCGGGGUGAUCUACCCAUGGCCAGUGUGAAGCAGCUGUAAGAGGUUGUGGAGGCGCGAACCCACUUAGGUUGAAAACUGAGGGGAUGAGCUGUGGGUAGGGGUGAAAGGCCAAUCAAACUCCGUGAUAGCUGGUUCUCCCCGAAAUGCAUUUAGGUGCAGCGUGAUGUGAGCUUGCCGGAGGUAGAGCUACUGGUUGGUUGAGCGGGACUAUCAUCUUAGCGACGUCAGCCAAACUCCGAAUACCGGUUUCAAGUGGUGCAUUGCAGUGAGACUGUGGGGGAUAAGCUUCAUAGUCGAGAGGGAAACAGCCCAGAUCGCCGGUUAAGGCCCCUAAGGGUGUGCUAAGUGGAAAAGGAUGUGGGAUCGCGAAGACAGCCAGGAGGUUGGCUUAGAAGCAGCCAUCCUUGAAAGAGUGCGUAAUAGCUCACUGGUCGAGUGGUUCCGCGCCGACAAUGUAGUGGGGCUCAAGCACACCGCCGAAGCCGCGGCAAACAUUUUUGUUUGGGUAGGGGAGCGUCGUGUGUGGGGUGAAGCCGUACCGGAAGGAGCGGUGGACUGCAUGCGAGUGAGAAUGCAGGCAUGAGUAACGAAUGGCAAGUGAGAAUCUUGCCCGCCGGAUGACUAAGGGUUCCUGGGUCAAGUUCGUCUUCCCAGGGUGAGUCGGGUCCUAAGGCGAGGCCGACAGGCGUAGUCGAUGGUUAACGGGUUGAUAUUCCCGUACCCGUAUAUGCGCGCCCAGUAUCGAAGCGGUGAUACUAACCACCCUGACCCGCCG